rnacentral:misc_RNA from 1 species
GAUGAAGAACGCAGCGAAAUGCGAUAAGUAAUGUGAAUUGCAGAAUCCAGUGAAUCAUCGAAUCUUUGAACGCACAUUGCGCCCGCCAGCAUUCUGGCGGGCAUGCCUGUUCGAGCGUCAUUUCAACCCUCGACCUCCCUUUGGGGAAGUCGGCGUUAGGGACCGGCAGCACACCGCCGGCCCUGAAAUGGAGUGGCGGCCCGUCCGCGGCGACCUCUGCGUAGUAAUCCAACUCGCACCGGAACCCCGACGCGGCCACGCCGUAAAACACCCAACUUCUGAACGUUGACCUCGAAUCAGGUAGGACUACCCGCUGAACUUAAGCAUAUCAAUAAGCGGAGGA